CAUCUACAUUUUAAUCCACCUGGUGUAAAUUCAGUUGAUUGGACAUGAUUUGGAAAGAUACACACCUGUCUCCAUAUAAGGUCCCAAAGUUAACAGUGCAA